AGCAGUAGGAAGCGACCUCUGCUUGCCCCGCUCUGCAACGGGAUCCACAACUCCUACGAGGACAAAAGCAACGACUUCGUCUGCCCCAUCUGCUUUGAUAUGAUUGAGGAGGCGUACAUGACAAAAUGUGGCCACAGCUUUUGCUACAAGUGUAUUCAUCAGAGUUUGGAGGACAAUAAUAAUAGAUGUCCCAAGUGUAAUUAUGUUGUGGACAAUAUUGACCAUCUCUAUCCUAAUUUCUUGGGGUGCUUUCAUCUUCUUGGGCUAUGGCAUAGACUCUAUACAUGUGAAUGAGCUCAUUCUCAAACAGAAGCAAAGAUUUGAGGAAAAGAGGUUCAAAUUGGACCACUCAGUGAGUAGCACCAAUGGGCAUAGGUGGCAAAUAUUUCAAGAUUUGCUAGGAACUGAUCAGGAUAACCUUGAUUUGGCCAAUGUCAACCUUAUGUUGGAAUUACUAGUGCAGAAGAAGAAACAACUGGAAGCAGAAUCACAUGCAGCUCAGCUUCAGAUCCUUAUGGAAUUCCUCAAGGUUGCAAGGAGAAAUAAGAGAGAGCAAUUGGAACAGAUCCAGAAGGAACUAAAUGUUUUGGAAGAGGAUAUUAAAAGAGUGGAAGAAAUGAGUGGUUUGUACUCUCCUGUCAGUGAAGAUAGCACAGUGCCUCAGUUUGAAGCUCCUUCUCCAUCACACAGUAGUAUUAUUGAUUCUACAGAAUACAGCCAACCUUCAGGUUUCAGUGGGACUUCUCAGACAAAGAAACAACCUUGGUAUAACAGCACAUUAGCAUCCAGACGAAAGCGACUCACUGCUCAUUUUGAAGACUUAGAGCAGUGUUAUUUUUCUACAAGGAUGUCUCGUAUCUCAGAUGACAGUAGAACUGCAAGCCAGUUAGAUGAAUUUCAGGAAUGUCUGUCCAAGUUUACUCGGUACAACUCUGUAAGACCAUUGGCCACAUUGUCAUAUGCUAGUGAUCUCUAUAAUGGUUCCAGCAUAGUUUCUAGUAUUGAAUUUGACCGGGAUUGUGACUAUUUUGCAAUUGCUGGGGUUACAAAGAAGAUUAAAGUCUAUGAAUAUGGCACAGUCAUCCAGGAUGCAGUGGAUAUUCAUUACCCUGAGAAUGAAAUGACCUGCAAUUCCAAAAUCAGCUGUAUCAGUUGGAGUAGUUACCAUAAGAACCUGCUAGCCAGCAGUGAUUAUGAAGGCACUGUUAUACUAUGGGAUGGAUUCACAGGACAGAGAUCAAAGGUCUAUCAGGAACAUGAAAAGAGAUGUUGGAGUGUUGACUUUAAUUUGAUGGAUCCUAAACUUUUGGCCUCAGGUUCUGAUGAUGCAAAAGUGAAGCUGUGGUCUACCAAUUUAGACAAUUCCGUGGCAAGCAUUGAGGCAAAGGCUAAUGUAUGCUGUGUGAAAUUCAGCCCCUCCUCCAGAUACCAUUUGGCUUUUGGCUGUGCAGAUCACUGUGUUCACUACUAUGAUCUCCGUAACACUAAGCAGCCAAUAAUGGUAUUCAAGGGACACAGAAAAGCAGUCUCUUAUGCCAAGUUUGUUAGUGGUGAAGAAAUUGUCUCUGCCUCAACAGACAGCCAACUAAAACUGUGGAAUGUGGGGAAACCAUAUUGUUUGCGUUCCUUCAAGGGUCAUAUUAAUGAAAAAAACUUCGUAGGACUUGCUUCCAAUGGAGAUUAUAUAGCUUGUGGAAGUGAGAACAACUCCCUCUACCUGUACUAUAAAGGACUUUCUAAGACUUUGCUGACUUUUAAGUUUGAUACAGUUAAGAGCGUUCUGGACAAAGACCGGAAAGAAGAUGAUACAAAUGAAUUUGUCAGUGCAGUGUGUUGGCGGGCACUAUCAGACGGGAAGUCAUCAGCUAAUGCCCACCCCACUGUACUCCUGUGCUGGAUGUUGAUGGUAGAUCUUAUGCACAGCUUCCACUAUACUUAAAGGUGUCCAAAAUACUCUGAGGAGUCCAAUGUGCUGAUUGCUGCUAACAGCCAGGGUACAAUUAAGGUGCUAGAAUUGGUGUAAAGGGUUUCCUGAAGUCAAAUCGUGUUUGCUCCUCCUGAAAACCACCUAGAGCUGAUGAGAAAAGAAAGGAAAUGGCAAGUGAUGUCUUUCCAGAGUCAUCCUGGGUUUUGGAUUUGUUCUGAGUACCUUUUCCUCCUUUUAUGCCAUUGGGACAUUGGGAAUACCCAGAGAAUUCUCCGCCAUCAGUGUAUCUAUGAACUUUGCUGUUGGCUGUGUGGCUAAUUUUUGUGAUAGGGAAACAAAUUCUUUUAAAUAAAAAUAAAUAAAAAAUAAUAAAAGUUUAUUGAGCCACAACUGA